UUUCAGGAUCCUGAGGUCUUGGCAUCACAAAUUCCUGGGAGACUUGUUGAAAUGUAAGAUACAGGUGUUUCCCUGGAAGCCCAACCUACAUCUGUGGUCAGGGUAAACAACCACAGGUUGCUGCAGAUGGCCUGGCAGAUGGUCCUGGGAGCACAGGUGCCCUUGACAUCCACAAGAAUGUAAAUCCAUAAGGCUAGAGAACCAGACACCUCCAGGGACGGACAAGGACAUCUAGUGUCUAUUCACCAGUUAUGACUUAUUGGUAUGCUUUCUACAUAUUGUAUUACCAUCUACAGGCACCAUGAGAGGAAGCAGAAUAAACAAGUGUCCCCUGAAACUGACAUC